rnacentral:tRNA from 1 species
UCCCUGGUGGUCCAGAGGUUAAGACUCUGCUCUUCCACUGCAGAGGGUGUGGGUUUGAUCCCUGCUUGGGGAA